rnacentral:rRNA from 1 species
UACGUAGGGGGCAAGCGUUGUCCGGAUUUAUUGGGCGUAAAGAGCGUGUAGGCGGCCAGACAGGUCAGCUGUGAAAACUCGAGGCUCAACCUCGAGACGUCGGUUGAAACCGUCUGGCUAGAGUCCGGAAGAGGAGAGUGGAAUUCCCGGUGUAGCGGUGAAAUGCGCAGAUAUCGGGAAGAACACCCGUGGCGAAGGCGGCUCACUGGACCAUUACUGACGCUGAGGCGCGAAAGCUAGGGGAGCAAACAGG